ACACGCAUGACACACUGCAUAUCAAUAAGCGGAGGAAAAGAAACUAACUAGGAUUCCCUUAGUAACGGCGAGUGAAGCGGGAAGAGCUCAAAUUUGAAAUCUUCAAGGUUCUACCUUGACGAAUUGUAGUUUAAAGAAGUGUUUUCUGUUGGAGUUUUGGUAAAAGUUCUUUGGAAUAGGACAUCAUAGAGGGUGAGAAUCCCGUAUUUGACCAUUUCUUCCAGCUGUGUGAUACACUUUCAAAGAGUCGGAUUGUUUGGGAAUGCAGUCCAAAAUGGGUGGUAAAUUUCAUCUAAAGCUAAAUAUUGGCGAGAGACCGAUAGCGAACAAGUACCGUGAGGGAAAGAUGAAAAGAACUUUGAAAAGAGAGUUAAACAGUACGUGAAAUUGUCAAAAGGGAAGCGUUUGACACCAGUGUUGUUUUCUCGAAAAUCAAUUAAAAAUGCUGGGAUUUUGUGUUGUAUUGACUUUAUCAGCUUUCUGCACUUUUUUCUUAUCUUUUUUAAUGCACUUUUCGUUUAACAAGUCAACAUCAAUUUCUUUUGUUGUAAAAGAGUCAUUGGAAGGUGGCUUUUUCUUCGGAAAAAGUGUUUAUAGCCUUUGGCUUCUGCAAUCGGAGAGAUUGAGGUCUGCAGCGUAGAUCCUUCGGGGUUAGAUACAUUUGUGCUAAGCUAUAGUUCUUUAUAGACAACUUGUUGACUAUAAUCAAUCCUGUAACUUACUCGCUUAUGCUAUUUUACCUACGCUUAGGAUGUUGAGCGCAUGUCUCUCUCU
rnacentral:rRNA from 1 species